rnacentral:rRNA from 1 species
CCUACGGGAGGCAGCAGUGAGGAAUAUUGGUCAAUGGGCGGGAGCCUGAACCAGCCAAGUCGCGUGAAGGAAGAAGGUACUGAGGAGUGUAAACUUCUGUUGUCGGGGAACAAAGGGGGAGACGCGUCUCCGGAUGAGUGUACCCGAAGAAAAAGCAUAGGGUAACUCCGUGCCAGCAGCCGCGGUAAUACGGAGGAUGCGAGCGUUCUCCGGAUUGAUUGGGUUUAAAGGGUGCGCAGGCGGGAGAUCAAGGCAGCGGGAAAAUGUCGGGGAUCAACCCCGGCCGGCCGUUUAAACUGGGUUUCUAGAGUUGGUGAGAAGUAUGCGGCAUUCGUGGUGUAGCGGUGACCUGCUUAGCUAUCAC